rnacentral:misc_RNA from 1 species
AACGCACAUUGCGCCCAUUAGUAUUCUAGUGGGCAUGCCUAUUCGAGCGUCAUUUCAACCCUUAAGCCUCUGUUGCUUAGCGUUGGGAGUCUACGGGUUACCCUGUAGUUCCUGAAAACCAUUGGCGGAGUCAGGGAGCACUCUAAGCGUAUUACACAAUCUUUUUGUCUCGCUUUGGAUAUUGCCCCGCCUCCACGCCGUAAAACCCCCCAUAUCAAAUGUUGACCUCGGAUUAGGUAGGAAUACCCGCUGAACUUAA